GAAGAAGAUAAUUUUUUUUUUUUUCCUGGGGCAAUUCCUAAUCUCUAAAGUGAAAUGUCAAAAUUCUUUCUUGCCAUGGGAUUCAAGCUCAUACAUCAUUUUGAGUACUGCUUAUAUUCCUGUCUAUAUCACCACCAUCACCAUAGCAGCUGCACAUUGUGUCUCCUGGCUUAAUAAUUCUCUCAGAACCAACAGACCACAGGGAGACACUACUAUCCUCACAGCUCUGGAAAUUGAGGCAGGGAGCAAGUAUGUGAAUUUUUAACUUCAUCUAGAGCUUUGCUGACAGCACUAGGUGACAAGCUGGUUCUUGCGAGACUGUGAUCCACAGCUCUGUCAAAAAAAUCCCCUUCUCUGCUCUGUUUUGAGUAAGGCUGGGUACUGACAAGGAGGCUUUUGUUGUUGAGGAGUUGGCUGUUGGUCUGAGCUCUCACACUCUUGUUAGGGAGGCCACGAGGGGAGAGCAGAGUGCCGAUCCCAGCAGGAACACAUGUCCUAGGUUGGUCCGUCUGCAAAAUAAUUCUUCUGCAUGUCAUCUAGGCUGAGAGCCGAGCCUGGGAUCUGCUAUAUGGCUAAGUUCCCUCCCCACGGCAGCCAGAGCAAGCGUGGUGACAGUUCUGGGGAAGGUAAUUGAAAUGUUUUGGGAAGUUAUGGCAUGGGGAGUGACAUCUGUGGCAAUGGGCUCAUUAAGUGAAGGAUUUGGUGUAAUACAUAUUAUAACGAGGUCAUAUUCUCAGAAAACUAGAACUUGCCAGCAAAACAAACUAAAUCAGUCAGGGUUAUGAUUCGGUUUGCUUCCAAACUCAUCUUUAAUCUAAAUUCUUUUCAAGGUCAUCACAAAUGGGCUUGCAUGAAUCUUGGGGCCUAAUCCUCAUCUGGUACAAGCUGGAGUGAGUUCAUUAAACUCAAGGGAACCUAGCCAGUUUACAUCAAAUUGUGGUUAUUUUUAAGUCUUCUCCCCAGGCUGAACAAAUCCAGGUUACUCAGCCUUUCCUCAUAAGGGAGAUGCUCCAGACACAUUGAGUCACUUAUACUGUCAUAUGGGAAACCUGAAGGUAGAAAGGGCACUGAGGCCUCUGGGGAAUAUUUCCCAGCCCAUCUUCUGCCAAGAAGGGACAACCAGAAAUGUGUGGGGCUGAUCACAGUGCUCAACAGUGGUGGCAGCCAAAUGUGCCACCAGGAGAGAAACUGGAGAAGAAACCAGGGGAGAAGAGAGGAGACACCUCUCACUUGCAGUGCCCAAGACUCUUGUGCCCCAGCCCUGCUGUACCUCCUUCAGCAUCUGUGUGCUCUCACCAGCUUCUCACAGGCUCACCUCACUAACUGAAGAGGUGUGCCUCCCCUCAAAGAAAUGCAUCCCUCUCAGAUUACACAAGAUGUGCAUUUGUCUAGCCGCGAGAUAAAACAAACCCAGGUCAGAUGGCCCUGAGAAAGCACUUAGAUGAAAGAUGUGUCUAGAAGUAACAAAGACCUGAGCAAACCCUGGCCUUAUUUCAGCUUUCAAAACAGACCAGCAUCAGCAUCCAGAACCUAAAUACUGCAUUCCAGAUUGAAUUUUCAGCUUCAAGAAGGAAGACAAACCAUAAUAGGCCUCUAUCAUGGUAUGACAGGCUGGCGUGGGUUGGCUCUGAAUAGUCCCUUCAUGGGGAUGAGGGGCAGAUGACA
ensembl:lncRNA